AUGGCUUUUCUGUUUGCUUAUAUUAGGAUUAAAGAAAUUAACUGAUUGUUUUAUAUCAAAAAAGCGAGGAAUUUAAAAUCCCUCGGCGUUCGCGCUGUGCGGGUUCAAGUCCCGCUCUGGGCACCA
rnacentral:tRNA from 1 species